GAUGAACGCUGGCGGCGUGCCUAAUACAUGCAAGUCGAGCGAACGGACGAGAAGCUUGCUUCUCUGAUGUUAGCGGCGGACGGGUGAGUAACACGUGGAUAACCUACCUAUAAGACUGGGAUAACUUCGGGAAACCGGAGCUAAUACCGGAUGAUAUUUUGAGCCGCAUGGUUCAAAAGUGAAAGACGGUCUUGCUGUCACUUAUAGAUGGAUCCGCGCUGCAUUAGCUAGUUGGUAAGGUAACGGCUUACCAAGGCAACGAUGCAUAGCCGACCUGAGAGGGUGAUCGGCCACACUGAAACUGAGACACGGUCCGGACUCCUACGGGAGGCAGCAGUAGGGAAUCUUCCGAAAUGGGCGAAAGCCUGACGGAGCAACGCCGCGUGAGUGAUGAAGGUCUUCGGAUCGUAAAACUCUGUUAUUAGGGAAGAACAUAUGUGUAAGUAACUGUGCAAAUCUUGACGGUACCUAAUCAGAAAGCAACGGCUAACUACG
rnacentral:rRNA from 1 species